CAUAGUGAAUAUACUUGUUUCAUUACCUAAUAAGAACUAAAUCUUUUUUGCCUUCCAGCCAGGCUGAUAAUAUUCCGGAACGCCCGCAGGGUGAUGCAGAUGUCCACGGUGCAAGCGGAGGUGGGCUCCAGGAGAGCGAGGCCCUGCCGUGCACUUCAGGUAGCCGCAGGUCUAACCACAAACGUAGCAGGGACGCCCCUAGCCACGAGAUAAUCGAGACCCAGGAGGCUAUUGUGGAACGCCUCGACAGGAUUGUGGUCCUGCAGGAGCAGAUGGUGGCACUGAAGGCA